GGCCCGGCGCCCUCACCUGCCCCGGGCGCCCCCGGGUGGGCCGCGGCCCGGUGGGCAGGGCACGCGCGCCCACGCCGCUCACAGCCCCACACUUGCGCCCGGGAGUCGCUUUGGGCGUGUUUCUCCCGUUCUUGGGCGACUCUGCUGGUUGAUGCUGAACAGUUCUGGGCCGUUUGCCUGGAAACAGCUGUAUCUUUGCUUUCCCACGACUGUGCUGUUGCGGGAGGACCGGCCGGAGCACCAGUGGGGCUCCUGUGCGGCGCGGCUUGAAAAGUUAGGACCCCUUGCCUGUUACUUGUAUACGUUGAACAGCUACAACCACGUUGUAUCUGGGAGUGAAAGCAAAGCGAAACUACAUCUUAGUGUUCUAAGCACAAAUUGUUUUCCUCGUUUUCAUUUCCUCCGCUGUGUGUUUGCCCGGAAAGGAUCUGGGAGCUCGGCUUGCUGGAGUAAAGGCUCCCAGCCCCGGUGGGUCCUUGAUGUACUGCUCUUUCCUUUUUUUCCCUUCCCCUCAGACAGAAUAAAGACGUCCGCCGUUACCCAGUGGGGGAGCCUUGUAGACAAAACCCCGGGAGAGUGUGGCUUCUUGGCCCAGUUUGCACCGCCCCCCCCCCAUUUAAAAUUAUUUUGCUACUUGCCACUUUUCCUACUUACUGGCUCACUGUUUCAGAUCCUAAUCUUGCUCUUAGGUUUUGUUUGUUUGUUUGUAUUUACUUCUCUUCUGGAGGAUUGAUUGCCACCAGCCCCCGCUUCACUCUUCACUGGGUGUAAAAUGUGCUAACUGUUAGGUGCCAGGAGAAACCGGUAGUUCGCACACAUGCCUCAUCAUCCCAGACCUGACCCUUUACUGGCUGCUCCUUCAUCGGUGUCGAAAAGGCUGGUGAUCACAGCAGCAAUUAACUGCAGACGAUUUCUCCCAGCCCCGGAGUCAGGCCAAGCGCCAUGCUCGGUUUAAACGCUCUUCAGUAAUGGUGACAAAAUACUUUCAAAAGAGGAGUCUCUAGAGCACGUUAUUUGGGUGCAGUAAUAUUGACCAAAAGAUUUAUGACUUCCAAGGAGAGAUUGCUAAACUCGGUGGCAAACAAAUGAGAGAAAGUUCUCUAAUUUGGAACUAGGAAUCUCUGACUUAGAGUGUCUAAUUGAAAAUCUUAGCAAAGCAAAGCUAAUUGUGAGAGCUAGCUUUUCAAACAGCCAGGACUUUAAAGGAUGAGCCACUCACUUGCAGGGACCCCUGUUCCUGCCUGGGAAACCAAACUCAUUGCUCUUGAGUUUGGGAUGCUUUCACUUCCCUUUAAUUAUUCUCUUAGGCCCAAGCACAUUCCUUUCCACUGGCUUGACUCUAAGCCACAAGGUAUCGCCUAGUAUCUUAGGAUAUCUGGCGUGUGAAUGGACACUCUCUGGUCAAUCACCAUUGACUUACCAGGCAUUAUCAUUGUACUUCAUUUUUCCUUGCUUAAUCAGAGAUACAUGGAUAUGAGUUAUGGGUGUACACAAAAAUCCAAAAGUAGUAAUUUGUCUAAUUUUAAAAUUGUUUCACUCUUCAUGCCAUCAAGAAUUUUUUGCUUACUUCUUUGCAGAGUUACUAAAAAGUUGAAAUGACUUCAAUACUCAUCCAAUCAAAAUACAUUGAAAAGUACAUUUGAAUGCAAAGUGCUGUAAGUCAAUCAAAUCUGAACUCAGAAGCCAACAUGAAUGAUUCUUGGGUCACCUGUGCCUUUGAAAGAGUGUCUGAGUCACACUUUUACCUGCAUUUGUACCUGUCCCAACAUCACCUCCUGUGCUGGGUGAGAAGUGCACUCCCCACUCCCCAUAUGAAAGGCUAUUUGAUUUUAUAUUUGACCAUAUAUGCCGUGGCCCUAUUGUUCAUUUACUAGUAGAUGGGUUUUAUCGGCCAGUGACUUUUCCCCAAGCCGAAUCUGCCCUGACUCUCCCGCACAGCUUUUCUUUCUGAGACAGGAAAGGAGGAAUAGGGUGCAAGCCUGAGACAAAACUGUGCCCCUCGUGUUAUGGCCGUGAGUGCCCUCUGUUCUCAGUUAAGCAGUCAGACGGAAGGGAGGUGUCCCCACCACACGCGGCCUUCAGACUCCUCCCUCACUGGUCCCAGGGACACCCCUUUCAGAGAUUAUUUCUCAGGAUCAGAAAUGUGCACUUCCCUAUGUGUGUGGUGAUGCCUGCCCAGUGGUGUUGGCACCGUCAGGCCCUCACUCACUCUCCUGGGACUCAGUGACCCGGAACUGCAAUGAAGUGAGAGUUAGUUCCCGUGUGAGUAUGGACUGUGUUCUGCUGCAAAUGUAAUUUAAACGAGAAGGCUGAUUUCCAAUUUAGACCCAAUGACAGAGACACCACCAGCAGCCCAAUAUUUCAGGAGUGCCAUUGGUGAAGACAUGAUCCAAACCAUCCUGUUCUUAACGUAUAGACUUGAUCAGAAGGAAGGUGUAUGCGACAACUAGGUAACAACCGGCAGGAAGAGUGUGUGUGCAUUGUGAGUGUGUAAGGGUGGACCCUCACAGAUGUAUUAGUGGUGUCGAUUAAUCACAUACGCAAAGAGCCAGUGCGGUUUAGGGACGAGACAAUCUUCAAUUUUAUCUGCUUUGAUUAAGCAACUGAAUUUGGAGGACUCAUUCACCCUCCGCCUCCGGCCCUGGCAGACUUGCCCCUUCUCCCAGGGACCCCUCCCUCCCUUCCUUUGUUCCAUACAUGUGCCCUGGGCCCUUCUUCAUGCCUUGUGUUCUGCCUGGUGAUGGCCGGGCCACAGUGAGGGGGACCCACCCCGCCUCUGGAAGCUCGCAGUUCGGCAAGAAGCUGGUCAGUGCUGCGGUCAAGGUAAAUCGAGGGCCGGGAGAGCCUCUAACCAGCUCUGGGGAACUCAGGGAAACUUCCCUGAGGACAUCCCACCUCCAAAUCAGAGGGGAAAAUAGAAUUAUAAGCUCAGUGUAUUAUUUUCAUGAGUGUUACGGUACAUUAUACUCAGAAGGGGGGAUAAAUCUACCCACAGGUUCUUUCGUAUUCCUCCAGGGGUUUGCAUUUAAAAAUGAGCCUAAAGCUCCCUCCUGUGAGAUACCAACAUGUCAUUGCCUCUGUUAUUAACGUGGUAGCUGAACUUUCCUCCUGGAAGGGUAGAGACACUGAGGGACGAGGUCUCAGAGAACAGAGGUGAGAAGUGCCCAGCUCCCAUCAGUGGCCCUGAGAUUGGUGGUGUCCCCUCUCCUGAGGCUGCAGGCCCAUCAGGAUGUUUGGAAAGUUGCCGCAUGGAUGGCUGAUUCUAGACUGGAGUGCCUUUAGGAACUGACCCAGAAAACCUACCCUCACUUGGGCAAGGGCAUGAGGGAAUUCACAAAACCCUGCAUUAUUCAUUAACAAGACUGUUGGCAAAUGUCUUGGGACUGGUAGGGAUGGUCAUAACUUUACCAGUUCAGUUAUUGGUUAAGAGCUGGUAAAGGUUUUGCAGACCAGUCGAACCCACCAGCGAGGCUCUAAGACAAUCCCUUUUAGAAAUCCGGAGGGCAUCAAGACUGGAAUAAGUUACGACACUUGUUUUGCAGAAGUAUAUACAAUGUUUGUUAUAACAUUUGUUCCAGAAAUUUAAAAAGGAUUAACCUCAUUAAAAUGCCUCUCCAGCACAUUCGGUAUUUUGAAUUCUUGAGGUGGAGUGAGCAAAAGCAACAAUAGAAUGCCUAAAAUAAUAUCAUUAGGGGAUUGUUCUUCCUGCUAUUAUUCAACAACCACUAAAAAAUGUCAACUGUAAAACAAUACAAAAGAAUAUUCCUACCAUUCUGACGUGUACAAUGAAAGAGGAUAUAAACCAGAACACGUUUCAAUGGUUAAUUUCUUUUGAGGAGUUGAACCCCGUAAGAAUGACUGGGGUUAAUAUUUUUCUCGUCCGGCAGCCAGUGAGCUGCUUCCAGCCUUUGUUUCCCUCCAUUGUUCUCCUGGUCCCAAUCCAGUGACAUGGGUCUCCUCUAGUUUUCUUCUGCGUCUCCCUCCUGCCUGUCCCCAGGCCUUCAGCGUUGGCUGUGCCGUGGGGUCUGCUCAGCUGGCUCCUCUGUCCUCCCCGUGCUAUCUCCUCUCUCACUGGGGAGAUCUCCUGGAAGGAUUCCUCAUCAUUCCCUGAAGGGGGCUCCAGACUUUUCUCUUGAUUUCCAGUCUUGGGUCUUCAUGUUCCUGUGGGACAGGUCACCUGGGCUCUGGUCUCAGACUCAGUGAGAGUGUUCAGAACCCAACUUGCUGCUUUUUACCCACGCCGGACCGCCUGCCCAUCCCGACUGUGGUCUUUUGGUUGUUGAUGUCCCCGCGGCUCCUGACGCUCAGCUUGGACACAGUGGCUUCACCCCGAGGCCUCGCCCUCUCUGCUUUCCCACCUCCGCGUCACUCAGUCCCCAAGGCUGCAUUGUCUUAGUUCUAGGGGCUUCACUGUCCCUGCCUGCUUUCUUCUCCCACGGCCACGGCCCCCUUCCGGUCUGUGCACCUUGGGCCGGGUGGCCACAAAGCCCUCCGGCUCCCGCGCCUCGUUGCGGCCACAGGUUCUGUCCAUUUGUCAUGUUGUCAUGAGGCUAACGGUAUUCAGAGAGCCCGCUUAGGACCACGUGAUUCCCCUGACAGUGGCUACGUGCUGUCUAACCAAACCUUCCCUUCUUUUCAGCUGGGUGGUUUGUGUUUGUUUUUUAAUAAAGACUUUAUUUUUUAUAGAGCAGCUUUAGGCUGACAGGAAGGUGCAGACAAUGCCCCCCACACCCCCUCGCCCCCCACUUGAGCACAGCCUCCCCCAUUAUCAACGUCGCCAGCCAGAGCGCCCCGUUUGUCCCAAUGGAUGAGCCUAUGGUGACGCAUCAUUGUCACCCAGACCCAGAGUGUCUGGUUUACAUGAGGGUCACCCUUGGUGUUGUGCGUUCUGUGGGUUUGGACAGAUGUGCAGUGACAUGUCGCCGUCACUGAAUAUCACACCACGCGUUUUCACUACCCUCAAGAUCCCCUGGGCAACUCUGCUCAUCCUUCCCUUCCCCCACCCUCCUGGCAACCACUGAUCCUUUUAUUGUCUCUACAGUGCUACCUUUUCCAGAAUGUCAUAUAGAACGUAGCCUUUUCACACUGGCUUCUUUCUCUCGGGGAUACGCCUUUCAGGUUCCUCCGUGUCUUUUCAUGGCUUCAUAGCUACUGUGUUUUUAGCACUGAGUAAGAGUCCACCUUCUGGACGUACUGCUGCUUAUACAUCCAUCACCUACCGAGGGGUAUCUUGGUUGCUUCCAGGUUUUGGCGAUUAUGAAUAAAGCUGCCGUGAACAUCCAAGUGCAGGUUUUUGUGUGGACAUAAGUUCUUGCCUCCUUUGGGUAAACACCUGGGCAUGUGAUUGCUGGGUAGUAUGGCGGAAGCAUGCUCAGCUAUGGGUGCCCACCAUGCUGUGUUCCAAGGUGGCUGUGCGUCCCCACCGUUAUCAUUAUGAACGAGAGUUCCUGUGUCUCCACCACACCCUCCUCAGCACUCGGCGUUGUUGGUGUUGGGUUUUGACCAUUCUCCAUAGUAAGUGUGUCUCGUGGUGUCUCAUUGCCACUUUAAUUUGGAUUGGGUUUGCGUGCCCACCGCAGCCCGGAUCCGUGGAAUUUAUGUGGCCUUCUUCUUCGUGACCCCCCAACCUAGAGGUUGGGUAAUUGUCACAAUGGACCAGUCUCUGUGUUCCAUGGGAUGAUGUAAUCGCUUUGAGCCUCAGGUCCCUACUCUAAUAAUAUGAUGUCCGUGGGAACCUUCACAUUGCCCAGUGCAGUUGUGCCCUCAAAGCAGGUCAGAACUCAAGAAAUGUGGGGUGUUAUCACUGCCGCGUGGCUGGGAUCUCAUCGUCUUAUGUGUGUUAGUCUGACGGCCCUGACAAUUCCGAGACACUGGAGGACACGGCUUCUUUUGAAAACGCCCCCACUACGCGAGGAGCGCCUGUCCCAUGGAGGGAAAUCACUGAGCUCUUGUCAUCGGUGCUAGUGUUUGUGGGUCGCAUUCAACUCUCCACCCCGCUGGGACCCCAGGCUGGCACAUGGGAGUGGUGUUUCAUCUCUGUGGCGGUGUCGGGGAACGGGAAUAAAAUUAGUGCCAAACAAAGGUGUUUCCUCUUCAUUUGGAAUUUGGAGUAGUUACUGCACCAUAGACUAAACACGACUUGGAAAUAUACACAGUGCUGAACUCUUGACGUAAAUAGUUCAUUCCGUGGUUUAGUGACAUUCCUCGCUUUGACAUCUUUGAUUUUUCAUCUGCUCACUAUAAGAACGUUUCAUGUCACCUGAGUUGUGAGUCUUGCUGGAUUUGUGGUGAAGCACAAGACAAAUGAAAGCACCCAAUGGGACAUUAAAGGAAUAGUCCAUGCGCCAUGUGGCGUUGGUUUCACCUCCUGCUGCUGAAGGACAGUUCUUGAACCCCCCUCAUCUUCUCCUGCUCUUAGAAUCAGUACUUUGUUCAGAGUUUGGGAAUGACUUUGUUCGUUACUGAACACAUAGCUCAGUGGCCUGUGGGCAUUUCUUUCUGGGUCCGAUAACAGCAGGUUGUGGCUUGGUCUGGGUGAAGCCGUAAUGGGAGUCCAUUGCUUUCCACAUGUACUGACAGUCGGAGGAGCUGUUUGUACCCUCUCUCAGAGAGAGUCUAGCCACUUAAAAUAAAUGUCGUGCAAACCCAGCAGAAUAUUUUGGAGACCUAGUAUGCCUGUGUCUGACGUUUUCGUUAAAGUUGUUAAAAGUUUUAUUGACUGCUUUAGAAAAUCAACAUAUUCCUCCAUGGAGAACAGAACCCAGGGCUUUGUAGUUGUAACUCGGAAUGCCUCCAGAGCUGUUAGCACAAGUUUUCACGGCAGCCGCUCACACUGGGUGAUGGGAAGAGGUUCAGAGAGGUGGGUGGCAGGCCACGGGGGUGCCUUCACUUGGGACAGGUGAAUCUUCCCUGACAUAUGUCAGCUAGCACGUGGGGCAUUUGGCAGGCCUCAGGAUGUUACAGAUAAACCGAGGAUAACUAUACUGGUCUAUUCCUUUGUUUCUGAUAAGGAAGUGUUAAUGGAUACUUAUACAUACAUAUGUAAGUGUAUAAUGUAUCUAUCAGUGGAAGAUUGGGGGCUACGUCUGCAACAGUAUUUUUUAUAAAGUAAGCAUAUUAUUUUAUAAUACAAAGAAACAACCACAGUUUAUUCUAAAACCCCACCAGGAUCCUUUCAAUCAACCAGUCGGCACAGGAGUAUUUAUUCCUACAUCAUCCAAGAGCGUCAGCCCUAAAAUGUCAUUUUAAAAUGCAGGCAACUCCUUUUCCUAAGUAGCGUUAAUUUUUCAAGUCACGUUUUAGAAUUUUUUUUUU